rnacentral:rRNA from 1 species
UACGGAGGGUGCAAGCGUUGUCCGGAUUUAUUGGGUUUAAAGGGUGCGUAGGCGGCGUAGUAAGUCCGUGGUGAAUGCCAACAGCUCAACUGUUGAACUGCCAUGGAUACUGCUAGGCUUGAGUACAGACGAGGUAGGCGGAAUGGAUAGUGUAGCGGUGAAAUGCAUAGAUACUAUCCAGAACACCGAUUGCGAAGGCAGCUUACUAGACUGUAACUGACGCUGAGGCACGAAAGCGUGGGGAGCGAGCAGG